CCAAUAGCGUAUAUUAAAGUUGUUGCAGUUAAAAAGCUCGUAGUUGAAUUUCGGGGUCAGUAGAUUGGUCAUGCCAAUGGUAUGUACUGGUCUUACUGGCUCCUCCUUCCUGAUGAACCGUAAUGCCAUUAAUUUGGUGUUGCGGGGAAUUUGGACUGUUACUUUGAAAAAAUUAGAGUGUUUAAAGCAGGCUAACGCUUGAAUACAUUAGCAUGGAAUAAUGAAAUAGGACGUUCGAUCCUAUUUUGUUGGUUUCUAGGAUUGACGUAAUGAUUAAUAGGGAUAGUUGGGGGCAUUAGUAUUCAAUUGUCAGAGGUGAAAUUCUUGGAUUUAUUGAAGACUAACUACUGCGAAAGCAUUUGCCAAGGAUGUUUUCAUUAAUCAAGAACGAAAGUUAGGGGAUCGAAGACGAUCAGAUACCGUCGUAGUCUUAACCAUAAACUAUGCCGACUAGGGAUCGGAUGAUGUUAAUUUUUUAAUGACUCA
rnacentral:rRNA from 1 species